AUUGAACGCUGGCGGCAUGCCUUACACAUGCAAGUCGAACGGCAGCGGACCUUCGGGUGCCGGCGAGUGGCGAACGGGUGAGUAAUAUAUCGGAACGUACCUUUCAGUGGGGGAUAACGUAGCGAAAGUUACGCUAAUACCGCAUAUUCUGUGAGCAGGAAAGCAGGGGAUCGCAAGACCUUGCGCUGAUUGAGCGGCCGAUAUCAGAUUAGCUAGUUGGUGAGGUAAAGGCUCACCAAGGCGACGAUCUGUAGCGGGUCUGAGAGGAUGAUCCGCCACACUGGAACUGAGAUACGGUCCAGACUCCUACGGGAGGCAGCAGUGGGGAAUUUUGGACAAUGGGCGCAAGCCUGAUCCAGCCAUGCCGCGUGAGUGAAGAAGGCCUCGGUUGUAA
rnacentral:rRNA from 1 species